rnacentral:rRNA from 1 species
UACGUAGGUGGCGAGCGUUGUCCGGAUUUAUUGGGCGUAAAGAGCUCGUAGGCGGCUUGUCGCGUCGACUGUGAAAUCCCGCGGCUCAACCGCGGGUCUGCAGUCGAUACGGGCAGGCUAGAGUUCGGUAGGGGAGACUGGAAUUUACGGUGUAGCAGUGAAAUGCGUAGAGAUCGUAAGGAAGACCAGUGGCGAAGGCGGGUCUCUGGACAGUUCCUGACACUGAGGCACGAAGGCCAGGGGAGCAAACGGG